UUUAAUGAAACUUUGUAUGAUUAAGACUUCGCACAGAGCGGAAAUGGUUAUGUGGAGACUCUGAUCGCCCUGUUUGCGGGGAUAUUUGAGUGGCACGGACACGCACGCCGCGCCGUGUCCUUCAGACAAUGAUCGUAGCGCUCCACCUGCUGUUUUAUACGGGCGCACAGGACAGUACGCAACACGUUAGUAUGUACACGUUAGUAUUAUUCGCUCAGACACUUUAGCUGGGAACACACAACAGCCCGAAAACGCGUGUGACGGAUGCGCCACGCGCUAUGAUAAACAAUACGCACGUACGCUCGCGGUGUUUAUUGAGUCUCGGCGGACAGCUCGGCUCUGCUCCGCUCCGUCUGGAGCCCGGCGCUCGGAACUAAACGGGCAAACAGCGCCGGCGGAGACGCGUCGUGCGCAAAUGUCCCGGUCUCGGCGUCUUUACAUGAGCCAAAACAACUUUUCACGAAUGAGUUAAAAUUAAAGAUGGCCGUAGAUGCUCGGAGGAAGUGGUUGCCAAGGGAAAAGGUCAUGCCAGGAAAACCGGGAGGAGACGACGGGGACGCGCACGCCGCCGACCAAUCAGAGAGCAGUCCGCUCGUCUGUCCCCGUCCGGUGGUCUGGAGCAGCCCUGCCACCCACGGGCGUCAAGUGGGUAUGGCAGGAGUCUGUGGACGCUGGGCUCGGCUCCACGACUGAGCCCAGGUACCAGGGGAUCUUCUCUCCAUGACCUCCUAAACUACACUGAGAAUUGCACAGUAUAUCGGGCUCCUGGGGAGGUGAUUGACAGCUCCGUUUCAACCAAUGGGAGUGCUCAAAGCUGCUGAUUGGCCAAAUAAGAACCACUAACAGGACUUCCCACUUGGCAAAUUUGAUCCUAUUUCCAGUUCUUCCGCACUGCUUUGUGACACGCCACUGGGGGUCGCUGCCUGCUCACAAUGAACAGUCGCGUUAAAAAAUACUUCUAAGGCUUCCCAGUUCAUUAUAGAGGCUGGAUUUAUGUUAGAAAGCUCUAAGCAAAGAGCUACACAACUAAGGCUUUUACUACGUGGUGGAUUCAGUGGAACUGCCGCUGAUGCACUGUUUUCCCCUUAAGGUAGGAUUAUGUAACACUGGACGCAUUUGUUUUUAAAAUUCCUUAGCUGGCAAAAUAAAACAGCUUUAAAAAUGUAAAAUGGCCUCA
rnacentral:lncRNA from 1 species